AAUCCAUGGUGAGGGCAGUCACGUACAUACUCCCUAAAACGUUCCCAGGCUUCGUAGAAAGGUUUAGUCGGUCCUUGCUGAAAGCUUGAGAUAUUGGUUCUCAGCAA
rfam:Eutrema salsugineum unplaced genomic scaffold scaffold_4, whole genome shotgun sequence.